AUUGAACGCUGGCGGCGUGCCUAACACAUGCAAGUCGAGCGGUAACAGGUGUAGCAAUACAUGCUGACGAGCGGCGGACGGGUGAGUAACGCUUGGGAAUCUGCCUAUUAGUGGGGGACAACCCGGGGAAACUCGGGCUAAUACCGCAUACGCUCUACGGAGGAAAGCCGGGGACCGCAAGGCCUGGCGCUAAUAGAUGAGCCCAAGUCGGAUUAGCUAGUUGGUAGGGUAAUGGCCUACCAAGGCGACGAUCCGUAACUGGUCUGAGAGGACGACCAGUCACACCGGAACUGAGACACGGUCCGGACUCCUACGGGAGGCAGCAGUGGGGAAUAUUGGACAAUGGCGCAAGCCUGAUCCAGCGAUG
rnacentral:rRNA from 1 species